rnacentral:rRNA from 1 species
GCAGCCGCCACGGUAAUACAGAGGGUGCGAGCGUUAAUCGGAUUUACUGGGCGUAAAGCGUGCGUAGGCGGCUUUUUAAGUCGGAUGUGAAAUCCCUGAGCUUAACUUAGGAAUUGCAUUCGAUACUGGGAAGCUAGAGUAUGGGAGAGGAUGGUAGAAUUCCAGGUGUAGCGGUGAAAUGCGUAGAGAUCUGGAGGAAUACCGAUGGCGAAGGCAGCCAUCUGGCCUAAUACUGACGCUGAGGUACGAAAGCAUGGGGAGCAAACAGGAUUAGAUACCCGAGUAGUCCCUGUCUCUUAUAA